rnacentral:rRNA from 1 species
GAUGAACGCUGACAGAAUGCUUAACACAUGCAAGUCGAUUCGAUUUACCUUCGGGUAUUGAGGAUGGCGGACGGGUGAGUAACGCGUAAGGAACUUGCCUCUUGGUCUGGGACAACUGUUGGAAACGACAGCUAAUACCGGAUAUUAUGAGAUUCUCGCAUGGGAAACUUAUGAAAGCUAUAUGCGCCAAGAGAGAGCCUUGCGUUCCAUUAGCUAGUUGGUGGGGUAACGGCCCACCAAGGCGACGAUGGAUAGCCGGCCUGAGAGGGUGAACGGCCACAAGGGGACUGAGACACGGCCCUUACUCCUACGGGAGGCAGCAGUGGGGAAUAUUGGACAAUGGGCCACAAGCCUGAUCCAGCAAUUCUGUGUGCACGAUGAAGGUCUUCGGAUUGUAAAGUGCUUUCAGUUGGGAAGAAGAAAGUGACGGUACCAACAGAAGAAGCGACGGCUAAAUACGUGCCAGCAGCCGCGGUAAUACGUAUGUCGCAAGCGUUAUCCGGAUUUAUUGGGCGUAAAGCGCGUCUAGGCGGAAAAAUAAGUCUGAUGUUAAAAUGCGGGGCUCAACUCCGUAUUGCGUUGGAAACUGUUUUUCUAGAGUACUGGAGAGGUGGGCGGAACUACAAGUGUAGAGGUGAAAUUCGUAGANAUUUGUAGGAAUGNCGAUGGAGAAGUCAGCUCACUGGACAGAUACUGACGCUAAAGCGCGAAAGCNUGGGGGAGCAAACAGGA